CCCCUGAGAGGGGGAUCCCCCACACUGGUACUGAGACACGGACCAGACUCCUACGGGAGGCAGCAGUGAGGAAUAUUGGACAAUGGGCGGAAGCCUGAUCCAGCCAUGCCGCGUGCAGGAAGACUGCCCUAUGGGUUGUAAACUGCUUUUGUACGGGAAGAAACACUCCUACGUGUAGGGGCUUGACGGUACCGUAA
rnacentral:rRNA from 1 species